UAGCCGGUCUGAGAGGUUGAACGGCCACAUUGGGACUGAGACACGGCCCAGACUCCUACGGGAGGCAGCAGUGGGGGAUAUUGCACAAUGGGGGAAACCCUGAUGCAGCGACGCCGCGUGGAGGAAGAAGGUUUUCGGAUUGUAAACUCCUGUCGUUAGGGACGAUAAUGACGGUACCUAACAAGAAAGCACCGGCUAACUACGUGCCAGCAGCCGCGGUAAAACGUAGGGUGCAAGCGUUGUCCGGAAUUACUGGGUGUAAUGGGAGCGCAGGCGGACCGGCAAGUUGGAAGUGAAAACUAUGGGCUCAACCCAUAAAUUGCUUUCAAAACUGCUGGCCUUGAGUAGUGCAGAGGUAGGUGGAAUUCCCGGUGUAGCGGUGGAAUGCGUAGAUAUCGGGAGGAACACCAGUGGCGAAGGCGACCUACUGGGCACCAACUGACGCUGAGGCUCGAAAGCAUGGGUAGCAAACAGGAUUAGAUACCCUGGUAGUCCAUGCCGUAAACGAUGAUUACUAGGUGUUGGAGGAUUGACCCCUUCAGUGCCGCAGUUAACACAAUAAGUAAUCCACCUGGGGAGUACGACCGCAAGGUUGAAACUCAAAGGAAUUGACGGGGGCCCGCACAAGCAGUGGAGUAUGUGGUUUAAUUCGAAGCAACGCGAAGAACCUUACCAGGUCUUGACAUCCGAUGCAUAGCUUAGAGAUAAGUGAAGUCCUUCGGGACAUCGAGACAGGUGGUGCAUGGUUGUCGUCAGCUCGUGUCGUGAGAUGUUGGGUUAAGUCCCGCAACGAGCGCAACCCUUAUUGCCAGUUACUACGAAAGAGGACUCUGGCGAGACUGCCGUUGACAAAACGGAGGAAGGUGGGGAUGACGUCAAAUCAUCAUGCCCUUUAUGACCUGGGCUACACACGUACUACAAUGGCGUUUAACAAAGAGAAGCAAGACCGCGAGGUGGAGCAAAACUCAAAAACAACGUCUCAGUUCAGAUUGCAGGCUGCAACUCGCCUGCAUGAAGUCGGAAUUGCUAGUAAUCGCGGAUCAGCAUGCCGCGGUGAAUACGUUCCCGGGCCUUGUACACACCGCCCGUCACACCAUGAGAGCCGGGGGGACCCGAAGUCGGUAGUCUAACCGCAAGGAGGACGCCGCCGAAGGUAAAACUGGUGAUUGGGGUGAAGUCGUAACAAGGUAACCGUA
rnacentral:rRNA from 1 species